GGAGCAGGCGUGAUUGGUUACGCUGUUCGCUUUGUAAGCGGAUGAUCAUGUGUUCGAUUCUCAUCUGCUCCU
rnacentral:tRNA from 1 species